GCGCUCGUAGCUCAUCUGGAUAGAGUACCUGGCUACGAACCAGGCGGUCAGAGGUUCGAAUCCUCUCGAGCGCGCCA
rnacentral:tRNA from 1 species